GACGAACGCUGGCGGCGUGCUUAACACAUGCAAGUCGAACGGAAAGGCCCUGCUUUUGUGGGGUGCUCGAGUGGCGAACGGGUGAGUAACACGUGAGUAACCUGCCCUUGACUUUGGGAUAACUUCAGGAAACUGGGGCUAUUACCGGAUAGGAGCUCCUGCUGCAUGGUGGGGGUUGGAAAGUUUCGGCGGUUGGGGCUGGACUCGCGGCUUCUCAGCUUGUUGGUGGGGUAGUGGCUUAGCAAGGCUAUGACGGGUAGCCGGCCUGAGCGGGUGAUCGGCCCAACUGGAACUGGGACAUGGCUGAGAGUCCUACGGGCGGCAGCAGUAGGGAACGUGCCGCAAGGGGCGGAAGCAUUACGGAGCUACGCCGCGUGAGUGAUGAAGGUCUUCGGAUCGGAAAAAUCUGUUAUUAGGGAAGAACAAAUGUGUAAGUAAAUGUGCACACCAUGACGGUACCUAAUCAGAAAGCCACGGCUAACUACGCG
rnacentral:rRNA from 1 species